AGAUUUUUGUGGAAGUCAAACUUUGCCAACUUUAACCAAGUGUAUAGAGAAAACAGUCUACAUCUACAAUAUCAAACAUGUACAUUCUGAAAAUAUAACUCAUGAUGUAUCCAAUGAUGUGCAUUUGGUAUUCUAGAUGUACCUACAUUUCUCUAUAAAUAUGGUCAAAGUUUGUAAUGUUUGACUUUCGCAAAAAUCUA
rnacentral:pre_miRNA from 1 species